UGGGGAAUAUUGGACAAUGGGGGCAACCCUGAUCCAGCAAUGCCGCGUGUGUGAAGAAGGUCUUCGGAUUGUAAAGCACUUUCGACGGGGACGAUGAUGACGGUACCCGUAGAAGAAGCCCCGGCUAACUUCGUGCCAGCAGCCGCGGUAAUACGAAGGGGGCUAGCGUUGCUCGGAAUGACUGGGCGUAAAGGGCGUGUAGGCGGUUUACACAGUCAGAUGUGAAAUCCCCGGGCUUAACCUGGGAGCUGCAUUUGAUACGUGUAGACUAGAGUGUGAGAGAGGGUUGUGGAAUUCCCAGUGUAGAGGUGAAAUUC
rnacentral:rRNA from 1 species